UACGUAGGUCCCGAGCGUUGUCCGGAUUUAUUGGGCGUAAAGCGAGCGCAGGUGGUUUAUUAAGUCUGGUGUAAAAGGCAGUGGCUCAACCAUUGUAUGCAUUGGAAACUGGUAGACUUGAGUGCAGGAGAGGAGAGUGGAAUUCCAUGUGUAGCGGUGAAAUGCGUAGAUAUAUGGAGGAACACCGGUGGCGAAAACGGCUCUCUGGCCCGUAACUGACACUGAGGCUCGAAAGCGUGGGGAGCAAACAGG
rnacentral:rRNA from 1 species